UACGGGGGGGGCAAGCGUUGUUCGGAAUUACUGGGCGUAAAGGGCUCGUAGGCGGCCAAUUAAGUCAUACGUGAAAUCACUCGGCUUAACCGGGGAACUGCGUCUGAUACUGGAUGGCUUGAGUUCGGGAGAGGGAUGCGGAAUUCCAGGUGUAGCGGUGAAAUGCGUAGAUAUCUGGAGGAACACCGGUGGCGGAGGCGGCUAUCUGGACGGUGACUGACGCUGAGACGCGAAAGCGUGGGGAGCAAACAGG
rnacentral:rRNA from 1 species